rnacentral:misc_RNA from 1 species
GAUGAAGAACGCAGUGAAAUGCGAUAAGUAAUGUGAAUUGCAGAAUUCAGUGAAUCAUCGAAUCUUUGAACGCACAUUGCGCCCCCUGGUAUUCCGGGGGGCAUGCCUGUUCGAGCGUCAUUUCACCACUCAAGCCUCGCUUGGUAUUGGGCAACGCGGUCCGCCGCGUGCCUCAAAUCGACCGGCUGGGUCUUCUGUCCCCUAAGCGUUGUGGAAACUAUUCGCUAAAGGGUGUUCGGGAGGCUACGCCGUAAAACAACCCCAUUUCUAAGGUUGACCUCGGAUCAGGUAGGGAUACCCGCUGAACUUAAGCAUAUCAAAAGCGGAGGA